AGUUAUAAACUUAAUAAUAAGCUUAUGUUUUGAAAUCAUAAUAAAAGGGUUUAUCUCCCUUAUUAACUU
rnacentral:tRNA from 1 species